UACGUAGGGCGCAAGCGUUAUCCGGAAUUAUUGGGCGUAAAGAGCUCGUAGGCGGUUUGUCGCGUCUGCCGUGAAAUCCCGAGGCUCAACCUCGGGUCUGCAGUCGAUACGAGCAAACUAGAGUGUUGCAGGGGAGACUGGAAUUCCUGGUGUAGCGGUGAAAUGCGCAGAUAUCAGGAGGAACACCGGUGGCGAAGGCGGGUCUCUGGGCAACAACUGACGCUGAGGAGCGAAAGCGUGGGGAGCGAACAGG
rnacentral:rRNA from 1 species